rnacentral:rRNA from 1 species
UACAGAGGUCUCAAGCGUUGUUCGGAUUUACUGGGUUUAAAGGGUGCGCAGGCGGAUAUGUAAGUCAGUGGUGAAAUCUCCGGGCUUAACCCGGAAACUGCCGUUGAUACUAUAUAUCUUGAAUGCUGUGGAGGUAAGCAGAAUAUGUCAUGUAGCGGUGAAAUGCUUAGAGAUGACAUAGAAUACCUAUUGCGAAGGCAGCUUACUACGCAGAUAUUGACGCUCAUGCACGAAAGCGUGGGGAUCAAACAGG